CACGUAGGGGGCAAGCGUUGUCCGGAUUCAUUGGGCGUAAAGAGCUCGUAGGCGGCUCAGUAAGUCGGGUGUGAAACCUCCAGGCUCAACCUGGAGACGCCACCCGAUACUGCUGUGGCUAGAGUCCAGUAGGGGAGCGUGGAAUUCCUGGUGUAGCGGUGAAAUGCGCAGAUAUCAGGAGGAACACCAGCGGCGAAGGCGGCGCUCUGGGCUGGAACUGACGCUGAGGAGCGAAAGCGUGGGGAGCGAACAGG
rnacentral:rRNA from 1 species